GCCAGAGGCGGUGGUGCAUGCCUGUAAUCCCAGCAGCUCAGGAGGCUGAGGCAGGAGGAUCACAAGUUCAAAGCCAGUCUAAGCAACUUAGUGAGAUCCUGUCUCAA
rnacentral:sRNA from 1 species